rnacentral:rRNA from 1 species
UACGAAGGGGGCUAGCGUUGCUCGGAAUCACUGGGCGUAAAGCGCACGUAGGCGGACUCUUAAGUCGGUGGUGAAAUCCUGGAACUCAACUCCAGAACUGCCUUCGAUACUGAGAGUCUUGAGUCCGGGAGAGGUGAGUGGAGCUGCGAGUGUAGAGGUGAAAUUCGUAGAUAUUCGCAAGAACACCAGUGGCGAAGGCGGCUCACUGGACCGGCAUUGACGCUGAGGUGCGAAAGCGUGGGGAGCAAACAGG